UAUGUCUAUGGUCAGCACGUCUGGUAGCAUCUCUGGCUGCUGUUGAUCUUGUUUUUGGAGUAAAACACGGUGGAAGCUGAAUUAGUGAGGAUGACUCCUGCUCCUGUCAUCUCUAAGCUCCUCACACAUCUUUACCUGCACAUGAGGAAAAUCACUCCUGUAGAAUGCAGAUGUUCAGAGGGAGAUGAUGCCACAUCUGGUCCAGCUGAUGGAAGGUCUUGAAGUUCUCUGACUGGCCUCGACUGAAGAUGGUCGUCUCACUGGAUUUAAGGUUCAGAUGCUCAGUAACAAACUCCACCAAUGAGCCAACAGGGAAGCUUUAGGUUUAUUAAAUGUUGCUAUGAAGGUAUCGCUGUUUUUCUUUGUGAAUGCAAUGUGCUCCAACUGAAACUUGAAUUAGAACUUUGAAGUAAAUCCUUCCAUCUGAAAGGAUUUAGUUGCAUUAAUAACCUCAUAACAUUCUAAUUUUUAUUCCAGUCUUAGUUGGAAAUAGAAUCUCUGUAUUGAUUCAGGUAAUAACUGAACUUCACAGCAUGUUGAAGCAAAACAACCAGAUGAAAACUGUGAUGGUGUUGGAUUGUCAGACCGUAAUGUUGCAGCUCAAAGCAGCUUUUCUAUCUCAGUUCAUUCUGACAUUCAGCUAUGAAUCAACACAGCAGAUGGUGAGCCAUGCUGUGGAAGUCUCACAUCUCCUGAUUUAAUGGAGCUGCUUUGCACUUUUUACACUGUUUAUUCACCAACACUUUAUUUAAUACAAGUCCCAUCUAGUUUUCAUGAGGAAUGUGAUGUUUUAAUGUCUCUGUGAAUAACUGCAGUCUAAUGCAACAGCUGGAGUUGUAACAUCUGUCCUGAUAUUGAUCAUGAAGUAUUGAUCAGAAUACUUAUGGUCAGCAGUCAUUCCUGAAGUUUUACAUUAAAAUCUUUACUUGUGUUGUGAACUUUAGUAAGAAGCAGAAACGUUAGCGUUGCCAUGGAUACAUGAGUGUUAAAUUCUGUCCAUGUUUCCAUUUUGGGAAAUGCAGUCCAGUUCCAGAAUGUGGAGAAAUUUAGUCUCACAAUCACAGACAAAAAAUAUUAUCUGAAAGUCGGGUUAUUGUUGUUUAUCAGCACAAUACAAAAAGAUUAAUGUUAGAAAUAUUCCAGUUCAGACUCUAGAAUAUCAUGAUUUAUGUAAAUUUACCUCAAUAAUAUGAAUGUUCAGGUUAAGAUUAUACAGCGAUAUUUAUUAUGUAAGUUUAGCUGAUUAAAGUUUAUGACUCUGCACUAAAAUAUUAUUUAAAUUGACAUCAUUAUUCUAAUAUUGAGGGUCAGACCCAGUAUUGAGAUAAAGAAAUCAAAUAUUCUAUAAAAUGUAAAUACACUGAACUCAUUUGGAUAUAUUUAAGUGAGACUCUACAAUAUUAUUUGACACAAAUCUAUCUAAAUCAAAAGUUUAAUAAUUUUCAUGUCAAACAUUUACUGGACUGAUUUAAAUAAUAAAAUCACUCCUUUCUAAUCCUCUGCUGUACGUUCAAACCUGAGGCCUUAAAUAGAAACACACAAGUAUCUGUUUGAAGGAACUUCUGCAGAGUCCUGGUUCCAGAACAUGAUGAUAGAAUUAUAGCCAAACUUUAACAAAAGCUGCCUGAGAGUUUACAGGUUUUUAUGUUGGAUUUCUUCAGUAAUUUAAUGAGCGUUAUCAGCAAUAAUCAAGUGUUCAUUUGAUGAACUUCAUUUCCUAAAACAUCCAGAAUUGGAGCUCAUAUCUUUGGCAGCUGUAAAGUUUCUGCUCCUUCAAAGUUCACAACACAAUGAAUUAAUUCCUAAAACACUCUCAGUGCUGGAGAACAUUUGAUGCUGAAGCAGUGAUCAGUUUUUCUGUUUCUUCUCUGGAGAUGCACCAUGAGGGACGUCUGCAGCGACUGAGAAAGAGUCUCGCCACAUCCUUACAUGAGGAAAAAGACUUUAUUGAAGACUACAAUGAGAAAAAAUAUCAGACAGCAGACGGCUGCAUUCAAGUCUGUAGCUGCUGAAUUCAUGGAUGAAUCAUCUGGCACUAGAGAGGAAGACCAUCAAACAUCCACGUCAGCUGAUGGAGGUCCAAGAGUCUCACCAAACAAACAACCUACAGAGUGAAGACCUCAAAUCUGAUUGGACGGCCUCCUAUUCAGCCACGUGUGAACAAAUGCCUCUAAGCUGAUUUGUUUUCUAAAAUAAAUCUAGUUUGAGUCCUAAUCUAUGCCUGUGUGUUUGCU
ensembl:lncRNA